rnacentral:tRNA from 2 species
GGGCAGGUAGCUCAGCUGGUAGAGCAACGGACUGAAAAUCCGUGUGUCGGCGGUUCAAAUCCGCCCCUGCCCACCA